AGGUUAAGUUAAUAAGGGCGCACGGUGGAUGCCUUGGCACUAGGAGCCGAAGAAGGACGUGACAAACGACGAUAUGCCUUGGGUAGCUGUAAGUAAGCGAUGAUCCAGGGAUUUCCGAAUGGGGGAACCCAACAGGUACUACCUGUUACCCGCAUCUGUUAAGGAUGUGAGGAGGAAGACGCAGUGAACUGAAACAUCUAAGUAGCUGCAGGAAGAGAAAGCAAAAGCGAUUGCCUUAGUAGCGGCGAGCGAAACGGCAGAAGGGCAAACCGAAGAGUUUACUCUUCGGGGUUGUAGGACUGUAAUGUGGACUCAAAGAUUAUAGAAGAAUGAUUUGGGAAGAUCAGCCAAAGAGAGUAAUAGCCUCGUAUUUAAAAUAGUCUUUGUACCUAGCAGUAUCCUGAGUACGGCGGGACACGCGAAAUCCCGUCGGAAUCUGGGAGGACCAUCUCCCAACCCUAAAUACUCCCUAGUGACCGAUAGUGAACCAGUACCGUGAGGGAAAGGUGAAAAGCACCCCGGGAGGGGAGUGAAAUAGAACCUGAAACCGUGUGCCUACAACAAGUUCGAGCCCGUUAAUGGGUGAGAGCGUGCCUUUUGUAGAAUGAACCGGCGAGUUACGUUAUGAUGCGAGGUUAAGUUGAAGAGACGGAGCCGU
rnacentral:rRNA from 1 species